CAACUGCAAGUGGUGGAUCACUCGGCUCGUGUGUCGAUGAAGAGUGCAGCAAACUGCGGGAAUUGACGGUGAAAUGCAGAAUGCUCCGAACAUCGAUACCUUGAACGCAACUGGCGGCCAUGGGCUUGCUCAUGGCCACGUUUGUCUGAGAGUCG
rnacentral:rRNA from 1 species